ensembl:lncRNA
GCGGUGUUUAAAGACAGUCAUCUGUUUGUUUGAAGACAAUCAUUUCAGGGAGCGUGCUGUCUGGGGGUGUGGUCAAACUGUCGGGGGGUGUGGUCAAACGGUAUGGUGUGUGGUCAAACUGUCUGGGGGUGUGGUCACUGUCUGGAGGUGUGGUCACUGUCUGGGGGUGUGGUCAAACUGUCUGGGGGUGUGGUCACUGUCUGGAGGUGUGGUCAAACUGUCUGGGGGUGUGGUCACUGGAGGUGUGGUCAAACUGUCUGGGGGUGUGGUCAAAGCUGUUCUGAAGCUAUGUUUGUGGUUGUUUAUUACAAUGUGAGAAUAUUUAUUGAUUAGAAAGUUGGGCCACUGCCGGAAUGUAUUUUUCUGUUGCCAGUUUAUUCUGUGAUUGGAGACGUGAUGAUGGGGUACUGUGGUGUGAUUGGAUGUUAAGUUGUAGUUAGUAGGUGUGUUUGGAGACGUGAUGAUGGGAUACUGUGGUGUGAUUGGAUGUUUAGUUGUAGUAUGUAGGUGUGAUUG